rnacentral:tRNA from 1 species
UAGCUCAGUUGGUAGAGUGCUUGCCUUACAUGCGCAAGACCCUGGGUUCAAUCCCCAG